rnacentral:rRNA from 1 species
GUGCCAGCAGCCGCGGUAAUACGUAGGUGGCAAGCGUUGUCCGGAAUUAUUGGGCGUAAAGCGCGCGCAGGCGGUUUCUUAAGUCUGAUGUGAAAGCCCCCGGCUCAACCGGGGAGGGUCAUUGGAAACUGGGAAACUUGAGUGCAGAAGAGGAAAGUGGAAUUCCAAGUGUAGCGGUGAAAUGCGUAGAGAUUUGGAGGAACACCAGUGGCGAAGGCGACUUUCUGGUCUGUAACUGACGCUGAGGCGCGAAAGCGUGGGGAGCAAACAGGAUUAGAUACCCCCGUAGUCC